rnacentral:rRNA from 1 species
GUGCAGCAGGCGCGAAAACUCCGCAAUGCGCGAAAGCGUGACGGGGUCACCCCGAGUGCCGUCCGCUGAGGACGGCUUUUGCCUGGUCUAACCAGCCGGGUGAAUAAGGGGAGGGCAAGUCUGGUGUCAGCCGCCGCGGUAAUACCAGCUCCCCGAGUGGUUGGGACGAUUAUUGGGUCUAAAGCGUCCGUAGCCGGCUGAGGAAGUUUUCCGUUAAAUCCAACGAUUCAAUCGUUGGGCUGCGGGGAAUACUCCUCAGCUUGGGGGCGGGGGAUGUCGGCGGUAUUUCCGGGGUAGGGGCGAAAUCCUAUAAUCCCGGAAGGACCACCAGUGGCGAAGGCGGCCGACAAAAACGCGCCCGACGGUGAGGGACGAAAGCUGGGGGAGCGAUCGGGAUUAGAUACCCCCGUAGUCC